rnacentral:rRNA from 1 species
UACGUAGGGUCCAAGCGUUAUCCGGAAUCACUGGGGUACGGUAAAGCGUACGUGAGGCGGCGCGUUAAGUGAGAGCGAAAAUCUGGUGCUCAACCAUCUCAGACUGUAUCUCAUUACUGGCGUGCUUGAGGAUGGCAGAGGCAAGUGGAAUUAGUAGUGUAGCAGUGAAAUGCGUAGAUAUUACUAGGAACACCAAUGGCGAAG